rnacentral:rRNA from 1 species
CCCUUAGAUGUUCUGGGCCGCACGCGCGCUACACUGAUGAAUGCAACGAGCUCUACCCUUGACCGAAAGGCCCGGGUAAACUUGUGAAACUUCAUCGUGAUGGGGAUAGAUUAUUGCAAUUAUUAAUCUUCAACGAGGAAUUCCUAGUAAGCGCGAGUCAUCAGCUCGCGUUGAUUACGUCCCUGCCCUUUGUACACACCGCCCGUCGCUCCUACCGAUUGAAUGGUCCGGUGAAAUCCUCGGAUUGCUGACCAAGAUCCAGCAAUGGAGCUUGGUUGCGAGAAGUUGAUUAAACCUUAUUAUUUAGAGGAAGGAGAAGUCGUAACA